rnacentral:rRNA from 1 species
AACGAACGCUGGCGGCAGGCCUAACACAUGCAAGUCGAACGCCCCGCAAGGGGAGUAGCAGACGGGUGAGUAACACGUGGGAACCUUCCCUAUACUACGGAAUAGCCCAGGGAAACUUGGAGUAAUACCGUAUACGCCCGAGAGGGGAAAGAUUUAUCGGUAUAGGAUGGGCCCGCGUAGGAUUAGCUAGUUGGUGAGGUAAUGGCUCACCAAGGCGACGAUCCUUAGCUGGUCUGAGAGGACGACCAGCCACACUGGGACUGAGACACGGCCCAGACUCCUACGGGAGGCAGCAGUGGGGAAUAUUGGACAAUGGGCGCAAGCCUGAUCCAGCCAUGCCGCGUGAGUGAUGAAGGCCUUAGGGUUGUAAAGCUCUUUUGCCGGGGACGAUAAUGACGGUACCCGGAGAAUAAGUCCCGGCUAACUUCGUGCCAGCAGCCGCGGUAA